CCAACAUGAUAUAAAAACGUAUGCAUGUGACAUACGGGCCUACAAGGCCGACAUGACCAUUUGUAAACUCAAACCGUAGGCCGACAAGGCCAUACAAGUAUCUAUAAACCUAACAUCUGUCUACAAGCCUCUAAGAGUACAUAAAAUCAUAAAGGUCGGGAGAAGGCCCCACCCUACCUAUCAAUACAUAUCUAAAGAAUACUGACCAAAUAGGAAACUCCGGAGCAAGUGAAGUGCACCAAUACCUUUGCCGAGCUGACAGCCUACUAGGAGGAAUGUCAAACCUGUCUAUCGGGACGUGCGGGUAUGAAACGCAGCGUCCCUAUGAAAAAGGGCCGUCAGUACGAAUAAAGUACCGAGUAUGUAACACACGAAAGCGUAAAUAAGAACUGUAAUGUAAAGAGAGUAAAGAAAUACAACCUGUAACAUCUGAGUGCCUCUGGGGGCUACUGACAUGAAAUGCAUAACACGUAUAAGAAGGCUCGAUAUAAUCGUACCCGGCCACAUGGAGCUUGGUAUAACCCAACUUAUCAGUGGUUGCAUAGUAGGUGCCGUACCCGUCCUACUAUAGCGCGGCUCGGUAGACUAAAAUAGAUACAUAUAUAUAAUGCAUGCUCGACUCAUGGAAUCAUCUUCUAAACCUUUUGGAGUGUCUUAAGAACCUUAUGGACAUCUAUACCCUCAAUAUGAAUAGGAUUCAAGGAUCAUACACAUUUGCUUAGAAUAAUUUUAUAAGGAAAGAAGAACAUGGAAAUUCUUAUUUUCUAUGAGAAGAUCCGUUAUGUAUUGGUGUACCAUUUAUAUUCAUGUCACUUUAGAUCAUGCCAAAAGAAAGAGGUAAAAGACUUAGCAUACCUUAAACAUGUUGAGUCCUUAAUUCCUUCCAAGUGACUCUUCAAACAAGUCAACUCGAUCUAUCAUAGCAUAAGGAGAUUCAAAAUUAGUGUUGAGCAAAGGCCAUUAACUUGAGCUAGUAGCUCAUUUUACUUAAAUUUGGGCAGCAUCUCCUUUGUAACAAGGGCCUCCUCCUAUACCAUAUAAAAACAACAACAACAGCAACCAUAGAAGUCCAUCAACGUAUAAAUUUCAAUAACAAGACACCACAUAACAAUAAUAAGUCACAACUACUUCACGACGAGGCGGCAAGCUCCAAUUGGAAUUCGUAUAACCCAUCUACUCCUUAUAGACUUCUUACAUUAAGUUAAAGGUAUCAUCAACAUGAUAAUAAAGUCAUUCAUCAAUAAUUCCAUCCUUAUACCAUAUAUUUAUAACAAAGGAAACAACUCAAACUCUAACUACCUUCGAUUAGUAACUUUAUUCACUAGUUGAUAUCUACUCCAUCCAUUUAACUUAAUCAACAUCAAUAUAACCUUAGGCACAUGCAAGAACACAAUAUACCUUCCUCCUAAAGUAACUUCAAGUUGAAAUCCAAGUUUUAUUUAGCAUAAAAUAACCCUCAAUGUCAAUAUAACACCAUAGAAGUGACUUAAGCUAAUCCAAGUAUUAUCUUGUAGUGUAUCAUCCUAACAACUUAACCAACAUACAAGCAAGCUUAAGCACAAUUAGUAGGCUGCUAUACUCACCUUAGACAACAGCAACAACUUGGAAUUUCAUCCAAAUAUAGCCCACAAUCAUCCUCAAUGACAACACAACCUCAAAGAGGUGUUGUUCUUCACUAGGACUAGGUUUUGAUGUUGAAAUAUGGUGUAAUCCAUUUGAAUGACAUGAAAUAAUCUAGGGUUGAUAUAACAACCAUGAGAGAUUAUUUUACAGAAUAUAAAAUACUUAAUAUAACCUCCCAUACGAGCUUGAACCACCUAAAAUUCAGCAACAACAAGAACAAUAAGAGACUUACUAGAUCCACGAGAUUUCCGAUACUUGAUUUGUGUUGUUUGCCCUUUGUUUGGGUAUUAAAUCCUGAGAGAACCUUGAGAAGGUGUUCCUAGGGUUAUAAGUUCUGAAAAUGGUGAAACAAAACGACUUAAAACGGGUUGUAUGUGCCCUAUAUAAAUCCAAAUGUCUUAACCCACCUUAAGUGGGACCCCUAGAGAGGUGCUUGGCGCAGUCUCGCGAAAAAGCGAAUAUCUCUCUACUACCAUGUCGUAUGGAUGAACGGUUUACUCGUUGGAAACUAGACUUGUAUAUAUUAAAUUUGGUAUAUAGAUCAUUCUUGUAUUCUAAUAAUAUUGGGAGAAAAGUUCAUAUACAUUUGACCUAAAUUUCAGCAAAUUUAUGAGUGUAACUUAUGAUAACCUUUGCCAACUCUUGUUCCACAGCUUGCUUAAAUAAAAUUGCAAGAGUAUAGAGCACUAAUUAGUUGUGAACAAAUGGGCAAAUAGUGAGAAACAUAAAAUCUCACAAAUGAUUAACAUAAAAUCUCAUAAAUGAUUAAGUAACAACAAUUGAGGGAGAAUAGUGAAAACCAAAUAUCCGGUGCAUCAGAGUUCACAAGUGCCUUAAGAUACGCUCCGAGCAGGGCUAGGAGGUCGUUAAAACAUCACAAUGGCCUUGGCUUUCAGUCGGCCACUGAAUAAUUAGAUAUAAUAGUUUCAGAGCAUAAGAGAGUAAGUGAAGUGAGAGAGACAAUAGUGAUUAAGAUCCGUCCUUAGGAGUAUUGGGGGAGGAGUUUAUAUAGUUCUCAAAGUACCCAAAUCAAAAAAAAAAAAAAACAUCAAUCAAAUUACGAAAGUAAGGAAAGAAUCUCAUGUAAAUCGAUUCUGAACCGAAUUAGGGCUUAAUCAAGCAAACCCCAGACGAAGAAUAAAAAAUAGCCAAAAAUCUGGUUGAGAAGAACAUAUGUGACCUUGCCUUGGAUGUGUUGGACCAAGAAUAAAGCAGAUAUUUAGAAUCAAAGCCAUAAAGAACUUCCAUAAAUAAAUCGGCACCAAAUGAACCAAGCCAUGAAUUAGAGAAGUAACAUUUUGGACUCGAGUAAAGGAAAAUGGAUGAUCUCCAUGUCGGACUGUAUUUGGGAUACGGAUGAGGCGGCUAGGUUUUAGGAGAGAGGUAGAGCGUGUGAGGGUGACGGACACCAGGGGAAUGGUCCUUAGGAUUUGGGAUUGGGUUUGUAAGUAAGGGGAGAUGGUUUAAAAAUCGUGUCCCAACCAGGUUGAGGGUAAAGGGGUCGUUUCGCUUGGCCAAGAAUUUUUGGCCG
rnacentral:lncRNA from 1 species